rnacentral:rRNA from 1 species
UCGGCGAGUGGCGAACGGGUGAGUAUAGCAUCGGAACGUGCCAAGUAGUGGGGAUAACCAAACGAAAGUUUGGCUAAUACCGCGUAAGCUCCAAGGAGGAAAGUAGGGGACCUAAAUAAGGCCUUACGCUAUUUGAUCGGCCGAUGUCGGAUUAGUUAGUUGGUGGGGUAAUGGCUCACCAAGGCAAUGAUCCGUAGCGGGUCUGAGAGGACGAUCCGCCACACUGGGACUGAGACACGGCCCAG